GAUUAACGCUGGCGGCGUGCAUAACACAAGCAAGUCGAACGAUGAAACUUAAAUGAUUUCUUCGGAAUGAACUUAAGUGGAUUAGUGGCGGACGGGUGGGUAACGCGUGAGUAACCUGCCUUACACAAGGGGAUAGCCGUUGGAAACGACGAAUAAUACCCUAUGAAACUAUCACUUCGCAUGAAGCGAUAGUCAAAGUGUUAGCGGUGUAAGAUGGACUUGCGUCUGAUUAGCUAGUUGGUGAGAAAAAAGCCCACCAAGGCAACGAUCAGUAGCCGGCUUGAGAGAGUGUACGGCCACAUUGGGACUGAGACACGGCCCAGACUCCGACGGGAGGCAGCAGUGGGGAAUUUUGCACAAUGGGGGAAACCCUGAUGCAGCGACGCCGCGUGAUUUAGAAGGCCUUCGGGUUGUAAAAAUCUUUUGUAUAGGAAGAAAAUGACAGUACUAUACGAAUAAGGUCCGGCUAAUUACGUG
rnacentral:rRNA from 1 species